GACGAACGCUGGCGGCGUGCCUAAUACAUGCAAGUAGAACGCAGUUGCGAACGGGUGAGUAACGCGUAGGUAACCUGCCUCAUAGCGGGGGAUAACUAUUGGAAACGAUAGCUAAUACCGCAUACUGUGAGAUGGACCUGCGUUGUAUUAGCUAGUUGGUGAGGUAAAGGCUCACCAAGGCGACGAUACAUAGCCGACCUGAGAGGGUGAUCGGCAACACUGGGACUGAGACCCGGCCCAGACUCCUACGGGAGGCAGCAGUGGGGAAUAUUGCCCAAUGGGCGCAAGCCUGAUGCAGCCAUGCCGCGUGUAUGAAGAAGGCCUUCGGGUUGUAAAGUACUUUCAGCGGGGAGGCGUUGCCCGCACAAGAAGAGCCGGCUAACUCCAUGCCAGCCGCCGCGGUAAUUC
rnacentral:rRNA from 1 species